rnacentral:rRNA from 1 species
GUGAGGAAUCUUCCACAAUGGACGAAAGUCUGAUGGAGCAACUCCGCGUGCAGGAUGAAGGCCUUAGGGUCGUAAACUGCUUUUAUGAGUGAAGAAUAUGACGGUAACUCAUGAAUAAGGGUCGGCUAACUACGUGCCAGCAGCCGCGGUCAUACGUAGGACCCAAGCGUUAUCCGGAGUGACUGGGCGUAAAGAGUUGCGUAGGUGGUUUGUUAAGUGAAUAGUGAAAUCUGGCGGCUCAACCGUACAGGCUAUUAUUCAAACUGGCAAACUCGAGAAUGGUAGAGGUAACUGGAAUUUCUUGUGUAGGAGUGAAAUCCGUAGAUAUAAGAAGGAACACCAAUGGCGUAGGCAGGUUACUGGACCAUUUCUGACACUGAGGCACGAAAGCGUGGGGAGCGAACCGGAUUAGAAACCCUAGUAGUCC